rnacentral:lncRNA from 1 species
AUUAACCUGAGCAGCGGUUAACGGCUCACAGUUCCAUCCUUGGUAAUUUGUGGCUUUCUGUGUACCUCCUGCCUCCUACCUAAUCCGUCAAGAAAAUAUUCCUCCCCCUAAGACACACAUCCUCUUGUUUAUUUUUACCUCCCUCCUGCCUGUUGAGCUCCACACUACUCCUAUUAUGUGGCCCCAGCCAGACUCACAGAGAGUUCCCUGGGUGAGAAGCUUGUCAGCUUAAAGGGCAUUUGAAUAAAUUGGGUGAAAUACAGGCUGUCCUCCCCUUCACCCGAGGUGCACCUUCCCGUCUCCUGUCCCUGUCUCCAAAGUCUUCGUGUGGACCAAGGCUAUACCUCAGCCAAGAGCCGGGCAACAGUGAGCCUGAAGAUGGCGAAUGGCUUGGAAGGAAGCAGAGGAAUUUACAAGUUCUCCCUUGCGAGAGACAUUGAGAGCUUGAGUCACCACCUCCUGGUAGGAGUGAUUAGCUCCAAAGCCCCAAGCACUCCCGAAGAGUAAUUAAAACCAUUUGGUCAAGUCUUCCUUAAUGAGUCCUUCAGAAAUGCAAUAUAGUGGGCAAGUGGGAUAAAACCGUCCUGGCAAUCUCAAUAACACAUUAUACAAAAAUCCAAUGAGCACUUUUGUUCCAGGUAUUAUGAUAAGCACUCUACAUUUCCUAUCUCACUCAUUUCUCACAACCGUCCUAAGAGGUAAACAUAAACAUCAGUUACUUCUUUAUCCUGCAGAUUGAGGAAAUAGGAGUUUAAGAAAAUCAAGAAACUCUCUCCACGUCCUACCCUGGCAAAGAACAAAGCCAAGACUCAGGCCGCAUUUAGUUCUAACAUUGAAGAUCCUUCUCUGAAGAAGUAUGUGUUCUUGCCAUACAUCCCCCUGACGUUUGAAAUAACUGAGCACCCCUGCUUCCUGAAGAAUCUUCGGAGCGUCCCUUCAUGGCUCCCUGGAAGUGUUGGAAGAUCCCAAGUCGGAGAGCAGAGGCACGGCCUCCCUCGCGGAGCGUGUCGGGAAGUCCUCGGACUGGAGGCGCUGCCGUCAGGGCAGAGCAGGAUGCGGAGCAGGCCGGGGCCUGCACGCCCAGCACGAGAUCCUGCAGAGAAGACUAGGCAUGGCUGAGAAGCUCGGCUCUGGAGAUGGACCAAGCAUGACCCUCAGGACCGGUAAAGGCUUCGCAAACAUCACACAUUGCAAAAGAAAUCACUUAUCUGACCUACAGAAAUGAAAACCAAGGUUCGAUUUCACUGCACGAGUCCUAAACGAACAACAAAACUGGGCAGUUGAUUUCAUCCAAAUGCCAGUCUGAUUUUGC